GACAGAGGCCCCAAGCGUUAGGCGGAAUCACUGGGCUUAAAGCGUGUGUAGGCGGAUCGUUAAGUGUCUUGUGAAAUCCCACGGCUCACCCGUGGAACGGCUGGGCAUACUGGCGAUCUUGGGCCAACUAGGGGCAGUCGGAACAAGCGGUGGAGCGGUGAAAUGCGUAGAUAUCGCGUGGAACGCCGAAGGUGAAAACAGACUGCUGGGGUUGCGCCGACGCUGAGACACGAAAGCCAGGGGAGCAAACGGG
rnacentral:rRNA from 1 species